NNNGACCUCAGAUCAGGCAAGACUACCCGCUGAACUUAAGCAUAUCAAUAAGCGGAGGAAAAGAAACUAACAAGGAUUCCCUUAGUAACGGCGAGCGAAGUGGGAAUAGCUCAAGCUUAAAUCUCCGAAGCUUGCUUCGGCGAAUUGUAGUCUGUGGAAGUGUUAUCUGGCAGUAUGUUUUGGGUCUAAGUUGCCUGGAACGGCACGUCAUAGAGGGUGAUAACCCCGUCUUUGACUUACAACAGCUGUCAAUGAGGCGCUUUCCGAGAGUCGGGCUGUUUGAGAGUGCAGCCUAAAUUGGGUGGUAGACUCCAUCUAAAGCUAAAUAUUGACGCGAGACCGAUAGCGAACAAGUACCGUGAGGGAAAGA
rnacentral:rRNA from 1 species